UAGUCCGCUGUUUUCCCUUUAUUUUCUUGCACUUAUCUUGUUCUUGUUCUUCUUGUCUUGUUCUUAGGUGGGUGUAGUCUGCUGUUUUCCCUUUAUUUUCUUGCACUUAUCUUGUUUUUGUUCUUCUUGUCUUGUUCUUAGGUGGGUGUAGUCCGAUGUUAUUCCCUUUAUUUCUGGCACUUAUCUUGUUCUUGUUCUUCUUGUCUUGUUCUUAGGUGGGUGUAGUCCGCUGUUAUUCCCUUUAUUUUCUUGCACUUAUCUUGUUCUUAUCUUCUUCUCCGCUGAUUUUCCCUUUUUAUUUUCCAGAACUCGUAUAUACAGAGCCCCUUUCACUUCUUAUGUCACUGUAUAGAGGCCUGAAACUUCAUCAACGGUAAACGGUAAACCAAGGAGCCGAGGAGAGCAAGGAGCGGCCAGGCGAGGGUUUGUUUGUUUACCUUACGACGCCCGAUGUUGCGAAAAAUACU